rnacentral:rRNA from 1 species
CCAAGAGUUCAUAUCGACGGCGGUGUUUGGCACCUCGAUGUCGGCUCAUCACAUCCUGGGGCUGUAGUCGGUCCCAAGGGUAUGGCUGUUCGCCAUUUAAAGUGGUACGCGAGCUGGGUUCAGAACGUCGUGAGACAGUUCGGUCCCUAUCUGCCAUGGGCGUUGGAAGUUUGAGAGGGGCUGCUCCUAGUACGAGAGGACCGGAGUGGACGAACCUCUGGUGUUCCGGUUGUCACGCCAGUGGCAUUGCCGGGUAGCUAUGUUCGGAAGCGAUAACCGCUGAAAGCAUCUAAGCGGGAAGCGCGCCUCAAGAUGAGACUUCCCGGGGCACAAGCC